rnacentral:rRNA from 1 species
AUUGAACGCUGGCGGCAGGCCUAACACAUGCAAGUCGAACGAGUGGCGGACGGGUGAGUAAUGUCUGGGAAACUGCCUGAUGGAGGGGGAUAACUACUGGAAACGGUAGCUAAUACCGCAUACCAUCGGAUGUGCCCAGAUGGGAUUAGCUAGUAGGUGGGGUAACGGCUCACAUAGGGGACGAUCCCUAGCUGGUCUGAGAGGAUGACCAGCAACACUGGAACUGAGACACGGUCCAGACUCCGACGGGGGGCAGCAGUGGGGAAUAUUGAACAAUGGGCGCAAGCCUGAUGCAGCCAUGCCGCGUGUAGGAAGAAGGCCUUCGGGUUGUAAAGUACUUUCAGCGGGGAGGCGUUACCCGCAGAAGAAGCACCGGCUAACUCCGUGCCAGCAGCCGCGGUAAUA